rnacentral:rRNA from 1 species
AGGCUCUUGACAUCUUCCGCUAUCCCUAGAGAUAGGGAGUUCCCUUCGGGGACGGAAUGACAGGUGGUGCAUGGUUGUCGUCAGCUCGUGUCGUGAGAUGUUGGGUUAAGUCCCGCAACGAGCGCAACCCCUAAUCUUAGUUGCCAGCAUUCAGUUGGGCACUCUAAGGUGACUGCCGGUGACAAACCGGAGGAAGGCGGGGAUGACGUCAAAUCAUCAUGCCCCUUAUGACCUGGGCUACACACGUGCUACAAUGGAUGGUACAGAGGGCAGCGAGACCGCGAGGUCAAGCAAAUCUCAAAAAACCAUUCUCAGUUCGGAUUGCAGGCUGCAACUCGCCUGUAUGAAGCCGGAAUCGCUAGUAAUCGCAGGUCAGCAUACUGCGGUGAAUACGUUCCCGGGUCUUGUACACACCGAAA